AGUCUAGUGAUGAAAUACUAACUAAUCAUACCAUCUUUCUGGACUGAACGGUUGCUAUGCGGUCAUGCUAUCAUUCUGCAAUUAUGGGGCCA